rnacentral:rRNA from 1 species
AAAAAUGCAAGUCGAGCGGACAGAAGAGAGCUUGCUCCCGGAUGUUAGCGGCGGACGGGUGAGUAACACGUGGGUAACCUGCCUGUAAGACUGGGAUAACUCCGGGAAACCGGAGCUAAUACCGGAUAGUUCCUUGAACCGCAUGGUUCAAGGAUGAAAGACGGUUUCGGCUGUCACUUACAGAUGGACCCGCGGCGCAUUAGCUAGUUGGUGAGGUAACGGCUCACCAAGGCGACGAUGCGUAGCCGACCUGAGAGGGUGAUCGGCCACACUGGGACUGAGACACGGCCCAGACUCCUACGGGAGGCAGCAGUAGGGAAUCUUCCGCAAUGGACGAAAGUCUGACGGAGCAACGCCGCGUGAGUGAUGAAGGUUUUCGGAUCGUAAAGCUCUGUUGUUAGGGAAGAACAAGUGCAAGAGUAACUGCUUGCACCUUGACGGUACCUAACCAGAAAGCCACGGCUAACUACGUGCCAGCAGCCGCGGUAAUACGUAGGUGGCAAGCGUUGUCCGGAAUUAUUGGGCGUAAAGGGCUCGCAGGCGGUUUCUUAAGUCUGAUGUGAAAGCCCCCGGCUCAACCGGGGAGGGUCAUUGGAAACUGGGAAACUUGAGUGCAGAAGAGGAGAGUGGAAUUCCACGUGUAGCGGUGAAAUGCGUAGAGAUGUGGAGGAACACCAGUGGCGAAAGCGACUCUCUGGUCUGUAACUGACUCUUAGGAGCGAAAAGCGUGGGGAGCGAACAGGAUUAGAUACCCUGGUAGUUCACGCCGUAAACGAUGAGUGCUAAUUGUUAGGGGGUUUCCGCCCCUUAGUGCUGCAGCUUACGCUUUAUGC